UACGUAGGGGGCUAGCGUUGUCCGGAAUCAUUGGGCGUAAAGCGCGUGUAGGCGGUCCGGUAAGUCCGCUGUGAAAGUCGGGGGCUCAACCCUCGGAUGCCGGUGGAUACUGUCGGGCUUGAGUACGGAAGAGGCGAGUGGAAUUCCUGGUGUAGCGGUGAAAUGCGCAGAUAUCAGGAGGAACACCAAUGCGAAGCAGCUCGCUGGACGUUGAGCUGACGCUGAGACGCGAAGCGUGGGAGCAACAGG
rnacentral:rRNA from 1 species